UUUUAAAGAGUGGGGCUACUAUGCUUCUUGAAGCAGAGAGCCUUCCGUGUUUUCAGAAAGCACGGUUGUUUUCUAUGUUGCGAUUUUCGAAUUGUCGAUCGGCUCCGUUAAACUUGAUCUAGAGUAUUUGAAGUGCCUAUAAAAUAAAUUAUACGAUUUUUCGAUAUUAUUUGUCUAGUGAAUGAAGGGGCUCAAAAUCAACGGUUGAAAAUAAAAAUCUUACAAAACGUGAUAAUAUGACAUUAAAAUUUUUGAUCAAAGAUAUUGAUCUUGUUUUAUAUAGUAUAAAGAAUUUUCUAUCAAAAUUUCACGUAUUUUGAAUAUUUUUACACCGUUAAACUUGCAAACGGCUCACUACGGCCAUAAAAAUUAUUGAUUUUGAGCCCCUUCAAUCACUAGGCAAAUGAUAUCAAAAAAUUAUAAAAUUUAUUUUCUAGGUACUUCAAAUACACUAGAUCAAGUUUAACGGAGCUGAUCGACGAUUUGAAAGUCGCAACAUAAAAAACGAGCUGGAAGCACAGAAGAUUCCGUACUUCUAAAAGCAUAGUAGUCUCACUCUAUUUUAAAUGUCAAAGAUUAAAUAUAACAUUGUUCCUUGCACAACUAACUUUUUGCCUAAAUU
rnacentral:lncRNA from 1 species